UUCUCUCAGAUUUGGAAGGCCGGGAUCCCUCCUAAAGUUAAGAUUUUCCUUUGGCAAGCCUUUAGGGGCCGGUUGCCUUCGGCUGACCAGAUUCAUAAGAGAAACGGGCCGGGUUCACAAUUUUGUGCUUUGUGUGGUGACGUGGAGGAUACGGCUCACAUUUUCUUCCACUGUGUCUUGGCUAAGCUCAUUUGGAGCUGCGUUAGAGAAUGGCUAAAUGUUACCUGGCCCCUGCUUCCUUCUCAGAAAUUGGGACCCUGGCGAGUAACUUGUCUGGCGUUUCCAGACGUAUCUUUUGGGUGGGCCUGGAUGCACUGUGCUGGUCCCUUUGGACAUUUCCUUCUCCUAUCCUUUGAUGAAGACGACACAUCGUUUCCUUCCUCCUCUGUUGUCAAGUGCUUUCAGUGA
rnacentral:rRNA from 1 species